rnacentral:rRNA from 1 species
AACAGUUAGAAAUGACUGCUAAUACCGCAUAUGCCUUAGCAACACAUGUUGCAAAAGGGAAAGGAGCAAUCCGCUGAUAGAUGGGCUUGCGUCUGAUUAGAUAGUUGGUGGGGUAACGGCCUACCAAGUCGACGAUCAGUAGCCGGACUGAGAGGUUGAACGGCCACAUUGGGACUGAGAUACGGCCCAGACUCCUACGGGAGGCAGCAGUCGGGAAUAUUGCGCAAUGGAGGAAACUCUGACGCAGUGACGCCGCGUGCAGGAAGAAGGUUUUCGGAUUGUAAACUGCUUUAGACAGGGAAGAAAAAAGACAGUACCUGUAGAAUAAGCUCCGG